AAGUGCUCACCGUGAGCGGCUGGUACCUGUCCCCUGGGAACUGCAAGAUGCACAGGACCUUGUGUACCUGUUUGUGAUCACAGCCGAGGACCAGCGAGGUAGCAUUACCACAUCCACACAGGGCUUUUACCAUAACUGGUGAGUCCCUGCCAGCCUACCAGGGGCACCCACUCAGGGACCACCCUCUUCUUGUAGGUCUCCAGCCUGUCACUUCAACCCCAAGCCCACCAGCCCCCGCUUCCUAAGCAAUUCGCAGGGGAGCUGCUCUGCCAGAUCUGACUGCCUUUUACAGAACAUUGUGCCCUGCGUCAGGGGAAGGGGAGUGCCUUUGCCCCGUCUGCUCCUGCCCCGCUUCAUGUCACACAGGGGUCUGGGAUGAUUUGGCUAGCCCAAACUCAGUGCUUCUGCCCAAAGAAAUUGUCCCCGGGCCCCCAGUGCCCAAGUCUCCCUCUAGGGAGCUGUGAACCAGCUCUGGCUAGAGCAGCCGUGAAGCAGCGCCCAUGUGCUUCUGACUCGCCUUUCAGGGCAGCAUCUCAGGGCCAGGAGAACCCAGAGCAGGUGAGGGCCUCGAUGAAGAAGGAGCCUGUGGCAGCGUCCUGAGAUUGGUGGGUGGCCCCAUCUGCCUUUCCCCUGCCUGCCUUGAGGUCCAGUACCACCCAUUCGAGAGGGGGCCACCUCAUUCCAGGUGUGCAGCUGGAUGGCCCCUGUGACGGAGUACACUGUGGACUGCAGUGUGGAGAGGCAUCUGCACCUCAAGGCUGGGCUGUGAGGAGCACAUUCCUGCAUAGGGGCCUGUAGCCUGGCCCGGUCCUCAGUGGGAACCCCCUUCCUUCCUGGGUGCCAGCCCCAGUACUGGAACGAGGAGCUGCAGAUGAUGAGGGACCUACCCAACAAGAACCAACCUGAGCAGCUGCUUCAAGAAAAAGCCAUGUUCAAGGUGCCUGAAUCCCCUGGUAAGUGAGUGACAGCCUCACAGCCUCAGGCCCACCUGGCUCCUGCUGGAAGGUUUUCUUGUGCUCGGGAGAGAAGUGAGGGAAGCCGGCAGUCCCAGCCCUGUCAGGUGCCCUGAAGGCCCGUCAGGUUUGCCCUGCAAGGCCUUCUAGCAUUCUGCUUCCUGGGAGACCAUCCCCCACCUUUCUCCGGCCUCUGAGACUUUGAGUCCUUGGGAGGAGAAGGCCCUCCUUGCUAUCUGGGCUGAGUGGCCAGGGCCAUCCAGCUUCCCACCCUCCACUGACUGCCAUGGGGCCCUCCCCUGAGCACAUGGUGCCCAACUGUAGCCCUUCUAGGGCAGGGGCUCAUUGGCAGCACUUGCAGCUUGCUGGCACUUAAAAGUCAUUAGUGC
rnacentral:lncRNA from 1 species